AGAACGAACGUUGGCGGCGUGGAUUAGGCAUGCAAGUCGAACGAAUCCCAUCUGGGUAACUGGGUGGGGGAAGUGGCGAAAGGGGCAGUAACGCGUAGGUAACCUACCUCGGGGACGGGGAUAGCCCUUCUAACGAAGGGGUAAUACCCGGCGAUCUGGCGAGGGGAUAUCCUCUUACCAGGAAAUGAACUUCGCCUCGAGAGGGGCUUACGUAGUAUUAGCUUGUUGGCGGGGUAACGGCCCACCAAGGCCAAGAUGCUUAGCAGGUGUGAGAGCACGACCUGCGCCACUGGCACUGAGACACUGGCCAGACUCCUACGGGAGGCUGCAGUCGAGGAUCUUCGGCAAUGGGCGCAAGCCUGACCGAGCGACGCCGCGUGUGCGAUUGAAGGCCUUCGGGUUGUAAAGCACUGUCGAGGGGGAGAAAAGCCCGCAAGGGUCUGAUCUAUCCCUGGAGGAAGCACGGGCUAAGUUCGUGCCAGCAGCCGCGGUAAGACGAACCGUGCGAACGUUGUUCGGAAUCACUGGGCUUAAAGGGCGCGUAGGCGGACACUCAAGUCGGUGGUGAAAGCCUCCAGCUUAACUGGAGAAGAGCUGUCGAUACUGGGUGUCUCGAGGGGUGUAGGGGUCUGUGGAACUUUGGGUGGAGCGGUGAAAUGCGUAGAGAUCCAAAGGAACGCCGGUGGCGAAAGCGACGGACUGGACACCUUCUGACGCUGAGGCGCGAAAGCCAGGGGAGCAAACGGGAUUAGAUACCCCGGUAGUCCUGGCCCUAAACGAUGGGUACUAGGUUGAAGGCUUACAUGGGCUUUCAGCCGGAGCAAAAGUGUUAAGUACCC
rnacentral:rRNA from 1 species